rnacentral:rRNA from 1 species
AUUGAACGCUGGCGGCAGGCCUAACACAUGCAAGUCGAACGAGUGGCGGACGGGUGAGUAAUGUCUGGGAAACUGCCUGAUGGAGGGGGAUAACUACUGGAACCGGUAGCUAAUACCGCAUACCAUCGGAUGUGCCCAGAUGGGAUUAGCUAGUCGGUGGGGUAAAGGCUCACCUAGGCGACGAUCCCUAGCUGGUCUGAGAGGAUGACCAGGCACACUGGAACUGUGACACGGUCCAUACUCCUACGGGAGGCAGCAGUGGGGAGUAUUGCACAAUGGGCGAAAGCGUGAUGCAGCCAUGCCGCGUGUAUGAAGAAGGCCGUCGGGGUGUAGAGUACUUUCAGCGGGUAGGCGUUACCCGCAGAAGAAGCACCGGCUAACUCCGUGCCAGCAGCCGCGGUAAUUC